GGGAAACGGUGUCGACUAGCCAUGCGAGUCAAUGUUCUUCGUGAACAUGGCGUACUGCUCAGUAACACGUGGACAACCUGCCCUAAGGUCUGGCAUAACUCCGGGAAACUGGGGAUAAUUCCAGAUGAACCAUAGAUACUGGAAUGUGCUGUGGUUAAAAGCUCCGGCGCCUUAGGAUGGAUCUGCGGCCUAUCAGGUAGUAGUGGGUGUAAUGUACCUACUAGCCUACGACGGGUACGGGUUGUGAGAGCAAGAGCCCGGAGAUGGAUUCUGAGACAUGAAUCCAGGCCCUACGGGGCGCAGCAGGCGCGAAAACUUUACAAUGCGGGAAACCGCGAUAAGGGGACACUGAGUGCCAGUACCAUGUACUGGCUGUCCGCAUGUAUAAAUCACAUGUGUCAGCAAGGGCCGGGCAAGACCGGUGCCAGCCGCCGCGGUAACACCGGCGGCCCGAGUGGUGCCAUUAUUAUUGGGUCUAAAGGGUCCGUAGCCGGUUUGAUCAGUCUUCCGGGAAAUCUGACAGCUCAACUGUUAGGCUUCUGGGGGAUACUGUCAGACUUGGAACCGGGAGAGGUAAGAGGUACUACAGGGGUAGGAGUGAAAUCUUGUAAUCCUUGUGGGACCACCAGUGGCGAAGGCGUCUUACCAGAACGGGUUCGACGGUGAGGGACGGAAGCUGGGGGCACGAACCGGAUUAGAUACCCGGGUAGUCCCAGCCGUAAACGAUGCUCGCUAGGUGUCUGGGAUGGUGCGACCGUUUCAGGUGCCGCAGGGAAGCCGUGAAGCGAGCCACCUGGGAA
rnacentral:rRNA from 1 species